rnacentral:rRNA from 1 species
ACGAUAAAAAUAUUGACCGUAAUGAGGCUUUAUUGCUGGUAGAUGGUGUUGAACAGCGUAUCUCCGAUAUCAACCCGGACGAUAUUGAAAGUAUUUCUAUCCUGAAAGACGCUUCUACGACAGCUAUCUACGGUUCGCGUGCCGCCAACGGAGUUGUGCUCGUAACAACCAAACGUGGAAAAGAAGGUAAGAUCAGAAUAGAUUUCAAUACUUACUGGGGUAUCCAGAGUGUGACCAACAAACCGGAACACAUGGAAACAGUCACUUAUAUGCAACAGCAGAAUUAUGCUUUCCAGAAUGCUGGACAAGCUCCCCGCUAUUCCGACACUUUUAUCAAGGAAUGGCAGGCUAAUCACAAAAGCGACCCUAUCACAUACCGCAAAGCCAACCAGUGGCAGGAUGCUGUUUACAGCUCUGCCCUGCAACAGAAUUACAGUCUUACCGUAAGUGGUGGUAACGAAAAAGCAAGAGGCUUGAUGGCGUUGCGUUAUUACGAUCAGGACGGUGUUGUUCCGAACUAUAAAUCCGAUAUCAAAGAAAUUCGUGUCAACACGGACUUUAAACCUUUCGAACGGCUGAAGAUAUCGGCGGAUGCCAACUUCAGAAGCAGUUAUUCCAAAGCACCUCUCGAUGCCUACGAAUACGAUAAAAAUGGUGGGGGUAUUUUCUACUCCAUGUAUCAUGCCACACAGUUCGUUGUUCCGCAAUAUCCUGACGGUAGCUACGGAUUGGGAAAUAAGAAUGCCAACCCGCUGAUGCUGGCCGAAAUGGGUGGAACAGACAAGCAAUGGAACAAUUUAUUCAUCGGAAACAUUAAGGCUGAAUUACAAAUUAUCGACGGCCUGAAGUUUACAGCCCAGUAUGCACAACGUUAUGGCUUCAAUAAGACCGUUAAAUUCGAAAAUGCCUAUACGGUAGUGGAUCAUCAANCUGAUAAUGUAGAGGUCGGCAGUUCAACUCUGCCUGGGACUACAGAAUCUCUAAACGAGAAACCUGGGGGAUUAGCUCAGCUGGCUAGAGCAUCUGCCUUGCACGCAGAGGGUCAACGGUUCGAAUCCGUUAUUCUCCACAUCACUCAGUNUAAAGAGUGCGUAACAGCUCACUAGUCGAGGAGUUUGGCGUGGAUAAUACUCGGGCAUAAACUGUUUACCGAAGCUAUGGAUGUCGUAAGACAUGGUAGGGGAGCAUUCCAGUGGCGUAGAAGGUAAGGGAUAACCCUUGUUGGAGCGACUGGAAAAGCAAAUGUAGGUAUAAGUAACGAUAAAGGAAGUGAGAAACUUCCUCGCCGAAAGACUAAGGUUUCCUGAUCAACGUUAAUCGGAUCAGGGUAAGUCGGGACCUAAGGAUAAGCCGAACGGCGAUUCCGAUGGAAGAAUGGUUUAAUAUUCCCAUACUACUUUAUUGAGCGAUGUGGAGACGGAGAAGUGACAGUCCUGCCAUCUGACGGAAUAGAUGGUUAAAGGGUGUAGACGUCGAUCGUGGUAGGCAAAUCCGCCAUGAGAGUCGAACCUGACAGUAUGCCGAGUACUUGUACAAGGCAAUAUGGACGUAAUCAGGCUCCCUAGAAAAUCCGCUAAGCAUAUCAAUAAAGUACCCGUACCGUAAACGGACACACGUAGUUGGGUUGAGAAUACUGAGGCGCUCGAGUGAUUCACGGUUAAGGAACUAGGCAAAUUGACCCUGUAACUUCGGGAUAAAGGGUCCCACUGUCAAAGGUGGGCGCAGAGAAUAGGUCCAGGCAACUGUUUAACAAAAACACAUGGCUGUGCAAAAUAGAAAUAUGAAGUAUACAGCCUGACACCUGCCCGGUGCUGGAAGGUUAAGAGGAGAUGUCAUCGCAAGAGAAGCAUUGAAUUGAAGCCCCAGUAAACGGCGGCCGUAACUAUAACGGUCCUAAGGUAGCGAAAUUCCUUGUCGGGUAAGUUCCGACCUGCACGAAUGGUGUAAUGAUCUGGACACUGUCUCAACCGUGAGCUCGGUGAAAUUGUAGUAUCGGUGAAGAUGCCGAUUACCCGCGAUGGGACGAAAAGACCCCGUGAACCUUUACUAUAGCUUUACAUUGAAUUUGGGCAACUAAUGUGUAGGAUAGGCCGGAGACUAUGAAGCGGGUACGCCAGUAUUUGUGGAGUCAUCGUUGAAAUACGGCCCUUUGGUUGUUUGAGUUCUAACCCGCGAAAUGUGGGGACACUGUAUGGUGGGUAGUUUGACUGGGGUGGUCGCCUCCAAAAGAGUAACGGAGGCUUCUAAAGGUACCCUCAGACCGAUUGGUAACCGGUCGUAGAGUGUAAUGGCAUAAGGGUGCUUGACUGGGAGACAUACAAGUCGAUCAGGUAGGAAACUAGAGCAUAGUGAUCCGGUGGUUCCGUAUGGAAGGGCCAUCGCUCAAAGGAUAAAAGGUACUCCGGGGAUAACAGGCUGAUCGCUCCCAAGAGCUCAUAUCGACGGAGCGGUUUGGCACCUCGAUGUCGGCUCGUCACAUCCUGGGGCUGGAGAAGGUCCCAAGGGUUGGGCUGUUCGCCCAUUAAAGUGGCACGCGAGCUGGGUUCAGAACGUCGUGAGACAGUUCGGUCUCUAUCUAUCGUGGGCGUAGGAUAUUUGAGAGGCUCUGACACUAGUACGAGAGGACCGUGUUGGACAGACCACUGGUUUACCGGUUGUACCGCCAGGUGCACCGCCGGGUAGCUAAGUCUGGAUUGGAUAAGUGCUGAAAGCAUCUAAGUACGAAGCCAGCCUCAAGAUAAGAUAUCCCUUAAGGGUCGUCGUAGACUACGACGUUGAUAGGCUACAGGUGUAAGGGCAGUAAUGUCGAAGCCGAGUAGUACUAAUAGCCCGAGACUUUCUUUU